AGCGAACGCUGGCGGCAGGCCUAACACAUGCCAGUCGAACGAACUCUUCGGAGUUAGUGGCGGACGGGUGAGUAACACGUGGGAACGUGCCUUUAGGUUCGGAAUAACUCAGGGAAACUUGUGCUAAUACCGAAUGUGCCCUUCGGGGGAAAGAUUUAUCGCCUUUAGAGCGGCCCGCGUCUGAUUAGCUAGUUGGUGAGGUAAAGGCUCACCAAGGCGGCGAUCAGUAGCUGGUCUGAGAGGAUGAUCAGCCACAUUGGGACUGAGACACGGCCCAAACUCCUACGGGAGGCAGCAGUGGGGAAUCUUGCGCAAUGGGCGAAAGCCUGACGCAGCCAUGCCGCGUGAAUGAUGAAGGUCUUAGGAUUGUAAAAUUCUUUCACCGGGGACGAUAAUGACGGUACCCGGAGAAGAAGCCCCGGCUAACUUCGUG
rnacentral:rRNA from 1 species